GCGCCGUUGGUGUAGCGGUAACACACAAUCUGAAUUUAGAGGAAAUAAGUGGAAAUUGAGGUUGAGUCCUGGGUUCGAAUCCCGGACGGCGUA